GGUCUUCGACUGGGGUGAAGUCGUAACAAGGUAGCCGUAGGGGAACCUGUGGCUGGAUCGAAUCCUUC
rnacentral:ncRNA from 1 species